CGGAGUGUAGGUCAUCGGUAGACCGCUCGGUUCGGGACCGAGAGGUAGAGAGUUCAAUUCUCUCCACUCCGA
rfam:Microgenomates group bacterium RBG_16_45_19 RBG_16_scaffold_130, whole genome shotgun sequence.